rnacentral:rRNA from 1 species
GAUGAACGCUGGCGGCGUGCCUAAUACAUGCAAGUCGAGCGAACAGAUGAGGAGCUUGCUCCUCUGACGUUAGCGGCGGACGGGUGAGUAACACGUGGAUAACCUACCUAUAAGACUGGGAUAACUUCGGGAAACCGGAGCUAAUACCGGAUAAUAUAUUGAACCGCAUGGUUCAAUAGUGAAAGACGGUUUUGCUGUCACUUAUAGAUGGAUCCGCGCCGCAUUAGCUAGUUGGUAAGGUAACGGCUUACCAAGGCAACGAUGCGUAGCCGACCUGAGAGGGUGAUCGGCCACACUGGAACUGAGACACGGUCCAGACUCCUACGGGAGGAAGCAGUAGGGAAUCUUCCGCAAUGGGCGAAAGCCUGACGGAGCAACGCCGCGUGAGUGAUGAAGGUCUUCGGAUCGUAAAACUCUGUUAUUAGGGAAGAACAAAUGUGUAAGUAACUAUGCACGUCUUGACGGUACCUAAUCAGAAAGCCACGGCUAACUACGUG